AGAGCGAACGCUGGCGGCAGGCCUAACACAUGCAAGUCGAGCGCCCGUAGCAAUACGGGAGCGGCAGACGGGAUAGUAACACGUGGGAACGCGCCCUUCGGUUCGGAAUAACUCAGGGAAACUUGAGCUAAUACCGAAUACGCCCUUACGGGGAAAGAUUUAUUGCCGAAGGAACGGCCCGCGUCCGAUUAGCUAGUUGGUGAGGUAAUGGCUCACCAAGGCUACGAUCGGUAGCUGGUCUGAGAGGAUGACCAGCAUCACUGGGACUGAGACACGGCCCAGACUCCUACGGGAGGCAGCAGUGGGGAAUCUUGCUCAAUGGGCGAAAGCCUGAAGCAGCGACGCCGCGUGCGGGAUGAAGGCCCUCGGGUUGUAAACCGCUUUCAGCAGGGACGAAAUUGACGGUACCUGCAGAAGAGGCCCGGCCAACUACGUGCCAGCAGCCGC
rnacentral:rRNA from 1 species